rnacentral:rRNA from 1 species
UUCUGUAAGCCUGUGAAGGUGAGUUGAGAAGCUUGCUGGAGGUAUCAGAAGUGCGAAUGCUGACAUGAGUAACGACAAUGGGUGUGAAAAACACCCACGCCGAAAGACCAAGGGUUCCUGCGCAACGUUAAUCGACGCAGGGUUAGUCGGUUCCUAAGGCGAGGCUGAAAAGCGUAGUCGAUGGGAAACAGGUUAAUAUUCCUGUACUUCUGGUUACUGCGAUGGAGGGACGGAGAAGGCUAGGCCAGCUUGGCGUUGGUUGUCCAAGUUUAAGGUGGUAGGCUGAAAUCUUAGGUAAAUCCGGGGUUUCAAG